rnacentral:rRNA from 1 species
GAUGAACGCUGGCGGCGCGCCUAAUACAUGCAAGUCGAGCGAACAGACGAGGAGCUUGCUCCUCUGACGUUAGCGGCGGACGGGUGAGUAACACGUGGAUAACCUACCUAUAAGACUGGGAUAACUUCGGGAAACCGGAGCUAAUACCGGAUAAUAUAUUGAACCGCAUGGUUCAAUAGUGAAAGACGGUUUUGCUGUCACUUAUAGAUGGAUCCGCGCCGCAUUAGCUAGUCGGUAAGGUAACGGCUUACCAAGGCAACGAUGCGUAGCCGACCUGAGAGGGUGAUCGGCCACACUGGAACUGAGACACGGUCCAGACUCCUACGGGAGGCAGCAGUAGGGAAUCUUCCGCAAUGGGCGAAAGCCUGACGGAGCAACGCCGCGUGAGUGAUGAAGGUCUUCGGAUCGUAAAACUCUGUUAUUAGGGAAGAACAAAUGUGUAAGUAACUAUGCACGUCUUGACGGUACCUAAUCAGAAAGCCACGGCUAACUACGUG